AAGCACCAAUCUGUUUUUCUUUUAUUCCUGUUUCCAUGGACCACAUUGCAGUAAUUAUUUGAGUAUGAGUCUUAGAUCUUUUGUUCGACCCCAGAGUUCCUGCAGGAAAACAAAUCUGUAUUACAGGGCCCUAAUGGAUCCAUAUUCCCAGCCCCUUGAGGUUGAGCAAUGCAGCGUGAAGGGAAGCUGAGCGCACCACUUCCAGAUGGAAGCCCUUAGGAGAUGGUGCUGACUCCCCUCAGCACGAAGCAAUACCUUGCACUCCUAAGUAAAGACAACACAGAACAGCACUCACCACUGACAUGUUGCAGGAGCAAGGAAGACAAACAAGCAAACAAAAUCCAAACUUUAUGUUGUUGAAAGCCUCUGAGAUUUUUAAGGAUUUUUGUUACUGCAACACAUUCUACUCUAUCUUAAAUAAUAACCAGAGUCUAUUUAUAUGUGAGAAUCAAAUGAUGCCAUUUUUUUACAUAACUUACUCUCAUUCCUACUUAUUAUUUAAUCCACAGAAAGAUCAAAGAUGUGAACAGUAAUAUACUGUGAUGAUCCUGCUGGCUCUGCCUGUAUCUUCAGCAGGAAUGUCUAGGGAAAGGAAUUUAGUCCAUCAGCAUUAAACUGUGAAUUUGGGUGAGAAAAAAAAAAAAAGAAUAGCUGAGACAGAGUGAAGAAAAACAUGAGAAAUGCAUUCAGUUUGGAAGAGGAUUCUAUCUGAAAAGAGUUAGUGCCUAAGGCCCGACAGACUCAUGUUGCUGUUACUUUAUUUUUUUCAGAAGAUAGGAAGAAGCAGAAAUGACUACAUCAUAUGCAGUCCAAUAAAUCUGAUCAUUUUUGGAGCAGAGGACUUAUUAGUUAUUGAGUCCCAACUGCACACUUUAGUUAGUGCUGUGGAGAUCUAAAAGGGAGGCCUGGGCAGGAAUUCCUUCUCUCCAUGUUCUUCCCUCUCAGGUUGGUCUUGAGGUCACUGAUUUCAGAUACCAUUAGGCAGGUUCAAUGUGUAUUCAAAUUUGUUUCCCCCAUGUUUUCAUGUAGAUGGUGUAAAAAAUAAUUUCUUAAAGAUAUUAAUUAGCUCAAGUGGAUUCAAACUAUGCACUAUAGGUGUUCUCAGGAGAAAGAAAAAGGAAGGUAAAUUGAGUAGUUACUUAUAUGUGUGUGUGUAUACAUUAUAUACUGAAGGCACACCCAACAGAUGCACAUAAUUACAAUAGUCCCAUUAUAAAAAUAUUCACCUUGUCUUCAUAUUAAAGAGAAUGAAAAAGAAAAGUAUCAGUGGCAUUUCCAAGUUUUCAUAUCAAGUCCCUAGUUUUGGAAAAUUUGAAAUCAAAGAUUUAAUAACUGGUCAAAUUCUCACAGUGAUUAAAAAUAUCAUAUACCUUACUUUUAAUUUAAUGAACUAGCUCAUAUCAACUCUUAUAUUCUAUGCUUUAUUUCUAUUUAUGAUACUAAAACUGAGACUUUAUGAUAUAUGUUCCUUGCUCUUUAUAAAAUUCAAUAUAUCCAAAUAUGUUUUUCGCAUAUAACUAAAACAUUUAUUACAAACAUCCUUUAAAUAGUAAGCCCUCGAUGAAUUUAAAUGCUGAUGGUCCAUCAACUGAUUCACAGAGAAUCUUGAAGGGCAAAAACUGAUGAAGGUGUUAUAUGGAGCAGUGCCAAUUGCAAAUCAAUCAGAAAUGCAAAUAAAAUAGCUCUCCUACUGCAAGUCAAUGUAAUUAGGUUUACCCUUAUUUGAUUUGCACAAAACUUUUCAGAAAUUUGCGUACUGAAUAAAUGACACGUAUGCAUAAAAUUAA